rnacentral:rRNA from 1 species
GAUGAACGCUGGCGGCGUGCUUAACACAUGCAAGUCGAACGAACCUUCGGGUGAGUGGCGGACGGGUGAGUAACGCGUGGGAAUCUGCCCUCAGGAGGGGGAUAACGGCUGGAAACGGCCGCUAAUACCCCAUAUGCCGAGAGGUGAAAUGAAUUUCGCCUGAGGAUGAGCCCGCGUCUGAUUAGCUAGUUGGUGUGGUAAUGGCGCACCAAGGCUUCGAUCAGUAGCUGGUCUGAGAGGAUGAUCAGCCACACUGGGACUGAGACACGGCCCAGACUCCUACGGGAGGCAGCAGUGGGGAAUUUUCCGCAAUGGGCGAAAGCCUGACGGAGCAACGCCGCGUGAGGGAUGAAGGCCUCUGGGCUGUAAACCUCUUUUCUCAAGGAAGAAGAACUGACGGUACUUGAGGAAUAAGCCACGGCUAAUUCCGUGCCAGCAGCCGCGGUAAUACGGGAGUGGCAAGCGUUAUCCGGAAUUAUUGGGCGUAAAGCGUCCGCAGGCGGCCUUGUAAGUCUGUCGUUAAAGCGUGGAGCUUAACUCCAUUUGAGCGAUGGAAACUGUAAGGCUUGAGUGUGGUAGGGGCAGAGGGAAUUCCCGGUGUAGCGGUGAAAUGCGU